ensembl:lncRNA
UCAGCCCCCGAUAGGUGAUGGGAUGAACCACAGCCAGGUAGCGCUCCACACAGGUCAAGACGUGAAAGUAUAACUCUCCAAACAGAGUGCUGGAACAAGUAAACACCCCUACAGUCAUCACUACUAACUGGUUAGUGUACAGGCCACCAUAGAAGAAGAAACUCCCCAAGAUCCAGAGCAGCUCCAUGGCAGCCACAUGGUAGGUGAAGAUGUCAGAGUGAGUCGCUGCUUUAGAGGAACGAUGCUGCUGCCUCCAUCUUUGGUGACCCAGGUAGAGGAUGAAGGUGGAGAGAGGGAGGAGGAGGAUUGUUCUCAAUG